CGCUCCACAGGCCAUCGAUCGACCCCAGACCACUUCCUAUAGGUUCGCCUCGACCUUGCGCAGCUGCAGGUGGCAGCCUUGAACCGCAACACGGCCACCAGCGGCGGCGGGAAGCUCCGCCCGGUUUGAGCUCGUUUUGGUUCCAAGAUUGAUAUCUCAAGCUACCGGUCACCAAUCCUCACCAAACUUCAUCCUCGAGAUCACCUCAACCUCCUGAAACUCCCAGAAGUGUCCUUGCACGGCGGAGCUGCCUCUAACGGCGGCGGCAAUCUUGUUUCGAUUUGAGUUCGAUUUUAGUCAACGCCUGUUUUCUCCUAGCUCCGGCCACCAAAACUUCCGAUCCUUAGCUCUAUGAACUCGCCUCAACCUGCUGAUCAUCAUACCGGAAGGAUCGCAUCUGAAGUGACCGGUUUCACGUUCGUCGGAGCUCGACCGGUUUUCGAUCCGAAACCAAAACCUUUCGAUCGUGAUAUCUCG
rnacentral:lncRNA from 1 species